AAAGCACUGAACCAAUAGAAAACCAAUAGAAAAGAAGACACUGUGUCAUAUGGUCAGAGUAGCUAUUCUAUUCUAUUCUAUUCUAUUCUAUUCUAUUCUAUUCUAUUCUAUUCUAUUCUAUUACUUCUUACCUUUGUGUUGCUCAUUGAACAUUCCAAAUUUCUGUAAAGCUGCUUUGAAAAAGUAGAUUUAUAGUGAACAAAUAUCUAUUUUAGAAAUGUAUCAUUUGUUUGCAUAAAUAAAUGUUGACUACGUAAUUAUUAUAGUAUACAUUCACAGGACAUAAAACAAAAAUACAAAAGCCUGUGAAAGCAGAAAUAAACUGAAUGCUGAAAUACAGUACAUGUAUAUAUAAUCAUAUUCCUAUUUAGUCUAUAAUAUUUUGUUGAAUACAGUGUUGGUCAUCAUUAAUCUAUCUUUAUCUUCGGAGCUUGAGGGUGGCUGGUUUUUUAAGACUUUUAUUUUGAAAAGAACUGGGACUGGGCUCCUAAGAGGAUUUCUGAACGUUACGAUCGCCAGGAUUUACAUCUGUGCAAGUAUUAUGUUCUACGGGAAAUGCAGGUAAGGAAUGUAAGGAUGGGAGAUAAUCUGGAUAUCUAGCGUAAUAUGCUCCCAUUAUAAUAAUUGAUACAAGACUAAAUACAUAAAUGUUACUUAUAAAUCACUGCAGCUGUGUGCGCUAAUCAUAGUUUUAGUAGCAUGAAAAAUUUAUAAAUUCAUAAGGAUUGUAAGUUCCAUUCAUAAUUUGCAUGAGCUUUAAUUUAUCUAAAAUUAUUUUGUGAAUAUUUUAUUGCUGCUUUUAACAUAUACGCUACUAUACAAAUCUGCACACACCUGUUCGUUAUUCAUUAUAGCUAUUUUCCACAUUUCAGAAUAACAAUACAUUGAAAUAUUAAAUAAUUGUGAUGAUAAACAGAUUGGCCAGUCAUUUUGUUUAGUAAUUGUUCAUUUUAUUUUUAACUAAUGUUAAAACGUUCUACAUAAUCAAUUACGCAGGACGUUUUAAUAUUGGUUAAAAAUAAAUAAACAAAAUUACUGAGCAGUCUGUUAAUUAAUGAUUUAUUAAUAUUAAUAACAGCACCUAUUAAUAAGAAUUAAGUUUAAUUCAUAUUGAUAAUAACACCCAGCAACGCUAUACUAUAAGUAGUAUAAUAAUAAUGAUGAUCAAUAAUAACAUUUUGCUAUGUUUUAAUUGUGUUAUUAAGUAUAAUGGUUAUGCAGUUGUUAUUGUGUAAAAAAUCUGAAAUAAAACAUUAUUACACUUUUAUACAUGAGAAUAUCUAUAAAAGCUAUUUUGGUCAAUCUCUUACACAAAUUAAUGUAUGGAAAUUAUGUAGAGCCCAAAAUCACUAAAUGCUUAUGUGUUUGUCAAGAAGGAGUGUAAAUUCUUCAAUGAUAUCCAGUCACGGCAUAAUCAUCCCCUGUUGUGCGCAUGUAGGCUUCAUGAACUGAACGAGGAUGAUUCUGCUUCAGAAUGACCCUGGUCUACUGCCAGGGGGCCACAAGUUGGUCCCCAGGUUUAAAGACUGCACAGUAUCGAUGAGAACAGCCACAGGAUGCUGGAGGAGCGUGGUCUCCCUGGUGACAUCAUCCAUGACCUGACCUACAUCUACCAGAACGUUUAUCGCCUCAACACACAAACUAUAAGCAGUGUCCAGGCUCGAGAUCGGUGGAUUUUGUGUCCAUGACCAGGAACCAUGACCAUGUCUCAUCCAUCUCUGAACCCACCCACUACAUCCUGACAACAGAGUGGAUUUGGUACUACUGUACAAAGGAGAUCAUGAGAACUGGAUAGAGUACGUUCAACAGAUAUGCACCAAGCACAACACAUAGAGGAGGGUGCGCAGGCGACCACGCUUUGUGUCUAUCAAUGAGGUGGAAGCUAAAGCUGCCCAGUGACGGACCAAACACACAAACACAUUCAGAUUAUCAGUUACUGCUUUAGUUUUGUGUCACUUCUCAAUUAAUACAUUGAGAAGAUAUAUCAUCAAUUUAUCCUCAGUACACACACACACAAAUAUAUAUAUACAAUGCUGCUUGAAAGUUUGUGAACCCUUUAGAAUUUUCUAUAUUUCUGCUUAAAUAUUACCCAUAAAAUCAUCAGAUUUUCACAAAAGUCCUGAAAGCAGACAAAUAGAACCCAAUUAAACAACUGAGACUAUUUAUUCAGAAGAAUGAUCCGAUAUUACAUAUCUGUGAGUGGCAAAGUAUGUGAAUCUCUAGGAUCAGCUGUUAAUUUGAAGGUGAAAUUUGGCUCCAUCUGUUCAGAGGUGUUUUUAAUCAGUAUGUGUCAAAUGUCAGUGCAUUCCUUGUUUUGUUUGAAAAACAGGGAUCUAUCAAAGUUUGAUCAUGUUUGUGGAAGUGUAUCAUAAAUUUUUUCAAAAUAAUUUAAAAUCAAAAUAGAGCUGUCUUUGCCAAUAAAUAUGUGGCAACAUUUUUUUAUUUUUGUAUGUGUUUACGAUUUAUUAUAGCUCAAAUAGGUAAAUAGAUAUUUAGAAACUGUGACUAGCAUUAUUUUUCUAUAAUUUUUCCAUGCCUGGAUUUGUCUGUUUGUCCUUCAGUGACUGUUGUACCUUCGUGGGGUGAUAUAGAUAAACUCAUGAGGUAUAAACUUAUUAUAAUAUACAAAAAUAUUAAACACUUUUUUCCAUAUCAUGUAUUCAUCAAUAAACUCUCCCUGUUUUUCA